GUGAGUUUCUAAUACUAACAUUUCAUUGCAUUUCUCCAGGUAUCAGCCGCAGAUGCUGAAGAUAUUUCUCGUUUGAUGGGACUCAUCAGUGGCUUGAAACAAGAUCACCCUACUCCAUCUCCAACAAAGAGUCAAGAACCAGCAGAAGCGGCGAGUGAUCAGAGUUGAUAAAUUCUUCUAGAUGUUUUCGAAAUCUACGGCUCUCAGAGGAACAACUGAUUGUUUCCGUCAAAUACUAGAGCCAGUAUUGUGGGUUCUGAUUGUUUGUGAUAGGUAAAGUGUGUUUCAAUAAGGAGUAGUAACAAAACAAAUCAUCAACCAAAAUAACUGGUCAAGAUUUUAACAUUUAAACGUUUUCAAAUGGAAAAUCCCAGAAUUUUUGAGGUAAUAUCAACGAAUUCGAAAAAGAAAAAUCUUUUAUAAUAUUGAUAAAACACUUCUUGAUUUCUUGAACAAAUUCAUUAGUGAAAAAAUUUUUUGGAACUAAUCACUUCAUUCUAUUUUUGGUGUUUCAUUCGUUCUUUGGUCUUUAUUCACUUCUUCCAUUUUUUUCUUCGUACGAAAGUCAUUUGCGUCUUGGGAAACGAUUUUUCAGCGGAUUUAAAUUCGUCUUUUGAGAGAGGGAGAGAGAGGGAGAGAGAGGGAUAGAAAGGAUAGGAAGGAUAGAAAAUGAGAGUUAAAUUCUGCAGUUUGAUUGGUGGAUAGUUUCAAAUUUUACGCCUAUUUGUAUAGCAUGAGAUUCUUUGGAAAAAAAUACGCGUCUUCAAACGAUUGUUUUCAGUUAUAUGUGCUCAUACUUAAAACUGAUUUAAUAAAAUUUCGCAAAUUCAAA